GAUGAACGCUGGCGGCGUGCCUAAUACAUGCAAGUCGAGCGAACAGACGAGGAGCUUGCUCCUUCGACGUUAGCGGCGGACGGGUGAUUAACACGUAGGUAACCUACCUAUAAGACUGGGAUAACUUCGGGAAACCGAAGCUAAUACCGGAUAAUAUUUCGAACCGCAUGGUUCGAUGGGGAAAAAUGGCUUUGCUAUCACUUAUAGAUGGACCUGCCCGGUCUUGUCUAGUUGGUAAGGUAACGGCUUACCAAGGCAACGAUACGUAGCCGACCUGAGAGGGUGAUCGGCCACACUGGAACUGAGACACGGUCCAAACUCCUACGGGAGGCAGCAGUAGGGAAUCUUCCGCAAUGGGCGAAAGCCUGACGGAGCAACGCCGCGUGAGUGAGGAAGGUCUUCGGAUCGUAAAACUCUGUUAUUAGGGAAGAACAAACGUGUAAGUAACUGUGCACGUCUUGACGGUACCUAAUCAGAAAGCCACGGCUAACUACGG
rnacentral:rRNA from 1 species